GCCAGCAGCCAUAUCACCCUGCAACUCACAACUGGUAACCCACUGAAGCUAAGCAGGUGUGAGCCUGGUAAAUACCUGGAUGGGAGACCUCCUGGGAAAAACUAAGGUUGCUGCUGGAA
ensembl:rRNA 5S_rRNA 5S ribosomal RNA